rnacentral:snoRNA from 1 species
UUGGGAUCAGUGAUGUGAAUUAGAAACUGCGUUAUCUAUCUGUAACUUCCUUGUUGGAAUUGAAGAUGUCUACAAACAAAACCUGAGAUCCCAU